rnacentral:misc_RNA from 1 species
GAUGAAGAACGCAGCGAAAUGCGAUAAGUAGUGUGAAUUGCAGAAUUCAGUGAAUCAUCGAAUCUUUGAACGCACCUUGCGCCCUUUGGCUAUUCCGAAGGGCAUGCCUGUUUGAGUAUCAUGAACACCUCAACUCUCAUGGCUUGCCAUGAUGAGCUUGGACUUUUGGGGGUCUUGCUGGCCUGUGGUCAGCUCCUCUCAAAUGAAUUAGCCUGCCAGUGUUUGGUGGCAUCACAGGUGUGAUAACUAUCUACGCUUGUGGUUUUCCACCAGGUAACCUUCAGUGAUGAAGGUUCGCUGGGGCUCAUAAACGUCUCUCCUCAGUGAGGACAGCUCUUUGAACGUUUGAUCUCAAAUCAGGUAGGACUACCCGCUGAACUUAAGCAUAUCAAUAAGCGGAGGA